rnacentral:rRNA from 1 species
GGGGGGGGGCAAGCGUUGUUCGGGAAUUACUGGGCGUAAAGGGCGCGCAGGCGGGCGGGAAAGUCUCUCGUGAAAUCCCACGGGCUCAACCGUGGAACUGCGGGAGAUACUACUCGUCUUGAGUUCGGGAGAGGAGUGUGGAAUUCCCAGUGUAGCGGUGAAAUGCGUAGAUAUUGGGAGGAACACCGGUGGCGAAGGCGGCACUCUGGACCGAUACUGACGCUGAGGCGCGAAAGCUAGGGGAGCAAACGGGAUUAGAUACCCCGGUAGUCCUAGCUGUAAACGCUGAGCACUUGGUGUAGCGGGUAUCGACCCCUGCUGUGCCGAAGCUAACGCAUUAAGUGCUCCGCCUGGGGAGUACGGUCGCAAAGGCUG